AAAAGUUAGUUUAAAUAAAACAUUAAUUUGUCAAAUUAAAAAUAUUAAAAAAUUAAUACUUUUUA
rnacentral:tRNA from 1 species